UGGAACCUCAGGCUGUAAGUGCAUGAGGCGGAGCACACACAUUGAGUUUGGUCUCCAAAAAUGUUCUGUGUUCUCCAGAAAAGGAGAAGCUGUUUCCAAGCUUGAGACUCUGAUUUCUGCCUUGUUGCAAAAAAGGAGAAGCUGUUUCUAAGGUUGGGACUUUGAUGAUUUCUCCCCUGUUGCAAAAUAAACACUGGAUCUCACUACUGGUGGCCUUCUGGUUCCUGGCUUCAAGAUAUUUGUCUCAUCCAUGCUGCACAUACAAACAUGGGGGACAUGGACUACAACUUCCAAUACUUUCCUGCUCUCACUCGUCCUCAUAAGGAUUGAGCACAGGUGUUACCUUUUGUACACACUCUCCUACAUACAAUAUUCAAGAAAUGCUCUUUCUCACACACAGUACAAAUAAAUAAUUUUACUUAUUCUUGUUUUGCUGACCUUUACCAAGCCUUUUGAUCAUUUGUACUGCCAUUGUGUUCCACAGUUUUUUUUGUCUGUGUUCAAUAUUGCCUUUCUUAUAUUAUUUCUGUUUGCCAAUUUACUGACUUCUACCUGUUUUUGUUUUGUUUUCUAUGCAUA